GACCUCAAAUCAGGUAGGGCUACCCGCUGAACUUAAGCAUAUCAAUAAGCGGAGGAAAAGAAACUAACAAGGAUUCCCCUAGUAACGGCGAGCGAACCGGGAAGAGCUCAAAUUUGAAAUCUGGCGUCCUCUGGGCGUCCGAGUUGUAAUCUAUAGAAGCGUUUUCCGUGCCGGAACGUGUCCAAGUCCCUUGGAACAGGGUAUCAAAGAGGGUGACAAUCCCGUACUUGACACGCCGACCGGUGCCAUGUGAUACGCUCUCUACGAGUCGAGUUGUUUGGGGAAAGAGAGUUAAACAGUAUGUGAAAUUGUUGAAAGGGAAACGAUUGAAGUCAGUUGUGUCGUGGGGAUUCAGCCGGCCCCGCCGGUGCACUUCCCCUCGACGGGUCAACAUCAGUUUCGUCCGGCGGAUAAGGGAGAUGGGAAGGUAGCACCCUCGGGUGUGUUAUAGCCCUUCGUCGCAUACGCCGGGCAGAGACUGAGGCAUGCAGCUCGCCCUCUUCUGGGCCGGGGUUCGCCCACGUCCGAGCUUAGGAUGUUGACAGAAUGGCUUUAAACGACCCGUCUUGAAACACGGACCAAGGAGUCUAACAUACCUGCGAGUGUUUGGGUGUCAAGCCCGGACGCGCAAUGAAAGUAAACGAAGGAGGGAUCCGCAAGGAGCACCUUUGACCGAUCUGGAUCUUCUGUGAUGGAUUUGAGUAAGAGCAUGUAUGCUGGGACCCGAAAGAUGGUGAACUAUGCCUGAAUAGGGCGAAGCCAGGGGAAACUCUGGUGGAGGCUCGUAGCGAUUCUGACGUGCAAAUCGAUCGUCAAAUUUGGGUAUAGGGGCGAAAGACUAAUCGAACCAUCUAGUAGCUGGUUCUUGCCG
rnacentral:rRNA from 1 species